rnacentral:rRNA from 1 species
UACGUAGGGGGCGAGCGUUAUUCGGAAUUACUGGGCGUAAAGCGUGCGCAGGCGGCUUCGCAAGUCAGACGUGAAAUCCCCGGGCUCAACUUGGGAAUGGCGUUUGAAACUACGAGGCUGGAGUGAGGCAGAGGGAGGUGGAAUUCCACGUGUAGCGGUGAAAUGCGUAGAGAUGUGGAGGAACACCGAUGGCGAAGGCAGCCUCCUGGGCCAACACUGACGCUCAUGCACGAAAGCGUGGGGAGCAAACAGG